GGCUUGGCGACUGUAGCAUA
rnacentral:miRNA from 1 species